UGCGACCAAAAUCAUAUUAUAGGGCUGCU
rnacentral:sRNA from 1 species